rnacentral:rRNA from 1 species
CUUGGAUGAGUUGCGAACGGGUGAGUAACGCGUAGGUAACCUGCCUUGUAGCGGGGGAUAACUAUUGGAAACGAUAGCUAAUACCGCAUAACAAUGGAUGACACAUGUCAUUUAUUUGAAAGGGGCAAUUGCUCCACUACAAGAUGGACCUGCGUUGUAUUAGCUAGUAGGUGAGGUAACGGCUCACCUAGGCGACGAUACAUAGCCGACCUGAGAGGGUGAUCGGCCACACUGGGACUGAGACACGGCCCAGACUCCUACGGGAGGCAGCAGUAGGGAAUCUUCGGCAAUGGGGGCAACCCUGACCGAGCAACGCCGCGUGAGUGAAGAAGGUUUUCGGUUCGUAAAGCUCUGUUGUAAGUCAAGAACGAGUGUGAGAGUGGAAAGUUCACACUGUGACGGUAGCUUACCAGAAAGGGACGGCUAACUACGUGCCAGCAGCCGCGGUAAUACGUAGGUCCCGAGCGUUGUCCGGAUUUAUUGGGCGUAAAGCGAGCGCAGGCGGUUUGAUAAGUCUGAAGUUACAGGCUGUGGCUCAACCAUAGUUCGCUUUGGAAACUGUCAAACUUGAGUGCAGAAGGGGAGAGUGGAAUUCCAUGUGUAGCGGUGAAAUGCGUAGAUAUAUGGAGGAACACCGGUGGCGAAAGCGGCUCUCUGGUCUGUAACUGACGCUGAGGCUCGAAAGCGUGGGGAGCGAACAGGAUUAGAUACCCUGGUAGUCCACGCCGUAAACGAUGAGUGCUAGUGUUGGAUCCUUUCCGGGAUUCAGUGCCGCAGCUAACGCAUUAAGCACUCCGCCUGGGGAGUACGACCGCAAGGUUGAAAC